UACGUAGGGUGCAAGCGUUGUCCGGAAUUACUGGGCGUAAAGGGCGCGUAGGCGGCACUGUUAGUCAGGCGUGAAAGUCCUGGGCUCAACCUGGGAACUGCGCUUGAUACGGCAGAGCUAGAGGAUGGAAGAGGCUCGCGGAAUUCCCAGUGUAGAGGUGAAAUUCGUAGAUAUUGGGAAGAACACCGGUGGCGAAGGCGGCGAGCUGGUCCAUUACUGACGCUGAGGCGCGACAGCGUGGGGAGCAAACAGG
rnacentral:rRNA from 1 species